rnacentral:lncRNA from 1 species
CCAGGCUGGAUCCUGACCUAAAGUUAUCCUCCCGCCUUGGCCUUCCAAAGUGUUGGGAUUAUAGGCAGGAGCCACCACACCCGGCCGGUUAUAAAUAUAUAUACUUUUUGAGAUGAGUCUCGCUCUGUCACCUGGGCUGGAAUACAAUGGUGCGAUCUCGGCUCACUGCAACCUCCACCUCCUGGGUUCAAGCGAUUCUCCUGCCUCAGCCUCCUGAGUAGCUGGGAUUACAGGUGCCCACCACCACACCUGGUUAAUUUUUUUUUUGAGACAGUCUUGCUCUGUUGCCCAGGCUGGAGUGCAGCAGCGCGAUCUCGG